rnacentral:rRNA from 1 species
GCAGAUGGCCCACCACCUGUAGAACACCUGAUCUCAUCUGAGCUCUGAAGUUAAGCAGGGUUGGGUCCGGUUGGUACUUGGACGGGAGAGCACUGGAAACACCAGAUGUUGUAUAGG